rnacentral:rRNA from 1 species
CCUACGGGCGGCAGCAGUAGGGAAUCUUUCACAAUGGGCGAAAGCCUGAUGGAGCAACGCCGCGUGCAGGAUGAAGGCCUUCGGGUUGUAAACUGCUUUUAUAAGCGAGAAAUAUGAUGGCAACUCAUGAAUAAGGAUCGGCUAACUACGUGCCAGCAGCCGCCGUCAUGCGUAGGAUCCGAGCAUUAUCCGGGGUGACUGGGUGUAAAGAGUUGCGUAGGUGGCAUAGUAAGUAGCUAGUGAAAUCUGGUGGCUCAACCAUUCGGACUAUUAGCUAAACGGCUAAGCUCGAGACCGUUAGGGGUAACUGGAAUUUCUAGUGUAGGAGUGAAAUCCGUAGAUAUUAGAAGGAACACCGAUAGCGUAGGCAGGUUACUGGGACGGUUCUGACGCUAAGGCGCGAAAGCGUAGGGAGCAAACGGGAUUAGAUACCCGGGUAGUC